rnacentral:rRNA from 1 species
AACGUAGGUGGCGAGCGUUAUCCGGAUUUACUGGGCGUAAAGCGUGUGCAGGCGGCCUCACAAGUGGUGUAUGAAAUACCCAGGCUCAACCUGGAGGGGUUAUGCCAGACUGUGAGGCUAGAGUGCGAGAGAGGGGCGUGGAAUUCCGGGUGUAGUGGUGAAAUGCGUAGAGAUCCGGAGGAACCCCAGAGGCGAAGGCGGCGCCCUGGCUCGCAACUGACGCUCAGACACGACAGCAUGGGGAGCGAACGGG